UAACGCGUGGGCAACCUGCCCUCCAGUUGGGGACAACAUUCCGAAAGGGAUGCUAAUACCGAAUGUGCUCCCUCCUCCGCAUGGAGGAGGGAGGAAAGAUGGCCUCUGCUUGCAAGCUAUCGCUGGAAGAUGGGCCCGCGUCUGAUUAGCUAGUUGGUGGGGUAACGGCUCACCAAGGCGAUGAUCAGUAGCCGGUCUGAGAGGAUGAACGGCCACAUUGGGACUGAGACACGGCCCAAACUCCUACGGGAGGCAGCAGUGGGGAAUCUUCCGCAAUGGACGAAAGUCUGACGGAGCAACGCCGCGUGAGUGAUGAAGGUCUUCGGAUUGUAAAACUCUGUUGUUAGGGACGAAAGCACCGUGUUCGAACAGGUCAUGGUGUUGACGGUACCUAACGAGGAAGCCACGGCUAACUACGUGCCAGCAGCCGCGGUAAUACGUAGGUGGCAAGCGUUGUCCGGAAUUAUUGGGCGUAAAGAGCAUGUAGGCGGGCUUUUAAGUCUGACGUGAAAAUGCGGGGCUUAACCCCGUAUGGCGUUGGAUACUGGAAGUCUUGAGUGCAGGAGAGGAAAGGGGAAUUCCCAGUGUAGCGGUGAAAUGCGUAGAUAUUGGGAGGAACACCAGUGGCGAAGGCGCCUUUCUGGACUGUGUCUGACGCUGAGAUGCGAAAGCCAGGGUAGCAAACGGGAUUAGAUACCCCGGUAGUCCUGGCCGUAAACGAUGGAUACU
rnacentral:rRNA from 1 species